CAGAGUGUAAUAUAAAACAUAUAGACUU
rnacentral:piRNA from 1 species